GUGAGGAAUAUUCCGCAAUGGGGGAAACCCUGACGGAGCAAUGCCGCGUGCAGGAUGAAGGCCUUCGGGUCGUAAACUGCUUUUAUUUGAGAAGAAUAUGACGGUAACAAAUGAAUAAGGGACGGCUAACUACGUGCCAGCAGCCGCGGUCAUACGUAGGUCCCAAGCGUUAUCCGGAGUGACUGGGCGUAAAGAGUUGCGUAGGCGGCUCAUUAAGCGGGCAAUGAAAACUAUCGGCUCAACCGGUAGCCUAUUGUCCGAACUGAUGAGCUCGAGAUUAUGAGAGGUAGCUGGAAUUUCUAGUGUAGCAGUGAAAUGCGUAGAUAUUAGAAAGAACACCAACGGCGUAGGCAGGCUACUGGCAUACAUCUGACGCUGAGGCACGAAAGCGUGGGGAGCGAACCGGAUUAGAUACCCCAGUAGUCC
rnacentral:rRNA from 1 species